UGAUCCAGACUUCUUUCAGAUUCAACAGACUGAAUUUUGGAGAAUCAAAAUUCAGAUUAUAGAGGGCUGUUCCUGACUGAUUCUGAAUGAAUACUCAUAGAGGCUGGAUACUUAUGUGGCUAAUAGAGAGCCUUGUCUCUUCCAGAUCUAGUUUUGAAAAAAAGGAUUGCGAAAUGGGUAUCUAAUUUGAUCACAAUCUGAAUUUCACCACAUAUCAAUUUCAGCAUAUGAGAUGGAUCCAUGUGAUUUUAUGUUUUUAUGCAUGUAUAAUUCAAAUUAAAAUUAUUUUAAUCUUAUUCUCUACUAUGGUAUUUAAAAAAUAAAAAUUUUGAAACACAUAUGCAUGCACGAAACUCCGAAUUCCAACAAUGGUAUCAAAGCCACGGAUUUUCAUAUACUGAAUUUUGAUAUAUAUAUUUUUGAAAAGAUUUCAAAAUCAAUUUUUUUCUUGAUACAUAAGAUGUAUGGAAGGAUCUUCAAAUCUAAAAUUUAAUUUUGGAUUUAGUUUUAGAACAUAUAGUUGAUAUAUUAUUGCAUACAUAGAUCUGAAGUUUGAUCUAGAAAGAGUUCUAGUUAAUGUUCAUGUGAAAUAUAGAUGCAUGC
rnacentral:lncRNA from 1 species